GGAGGCUGGGCAGAGAGUUCAGCCCAAGCUGAGCCGCUACACGGUUGCAUCUACCAUCUGUACAUUCAGAAAUGAGAACCGCGCAACUGAAUCCGGAUGAAACAGGUCUACAGGGUGCCAUUUGAGCGAAACUGAGAGGGCUAAAGAACAGUGCUAUGAAUAUGUGCAAAGUCAUGGAGCUGGAUGCCACUGCAAUGCAGCACGUUUAUAUUUACAUUGUUGAUGCUGGCUUCAACCUAGCCAAAAGAAGGGGACGGAGACAGAACAUUAUUGGCCAUUGUGAAUGUCCAUGGACAGCGUGGAGGGAAUAUCACCAUUUUCGCAUUUCCACCAUUUCUACCUGGCUGCUCUGGUCUGCAACUGGUUCAUCGACCACCCACAAUGUAUUGUUUUAUACCUCCCACCACAUUCCCCAUUCCUAAACCCAAAUGAAGAGUUUUUUUCAGCAUGGAGAUGGAAGGUGUAUGACCACCAUCCCCUCGCACGGAUGCCUCUUCUCCAGGCAAUGGAGGAUUGAUGUGGGGGCUUUUGGCGGCUGCAUCCGUCACUCCAGAAGAUUCUUUCCCCGCUGUUUAGCCAGGGAGAACAUCUCUUGUGAUGUAGAAUGGGUGCUGUGGCCAGACAAAUUAAAAUAGUAUUUAUUCUUACAUUUUACAUGUUGUUUUUUUCUUUUUGUGUUUAGAGUUUUGAAAGAAUGAGCCUCUUUCAUUUUUUUAUUGUUGUACAGAAAACCCUUUAUCUUACUGAAUGUUUUUCUUGGUUUUCUCCUGUUGGGUAUGGAAAGUGUUACAUACAAAACACAAGUGUUAAAAAAUACUGCAUUUUGGAAAUAAAUGACUGUUUUUGUUACUGUAUUGCAUUUGUGUGUGUUUAUGUAUAUUUGAGUAGGUAUUACUGUAACAUUAUUUUACAACCGGCUACAGUGUAAUACUGAAAAUGCAGAAGGCAUAAACCUACUGAUGGAAUAUUCAUGGUAGUGUUUCGUGUUGAGCACAUCAGUGUGUUGGUUGGUAGACAGAUCUAUUCAUGACGUGUGUCAUUUUGAUGCAAAAAAGCAUUUUGGAAAGAGAACAGUUUUGAAUGCAGUGUUUGCUUUUGCUAGAGAUUUGUAGAGUUUUGGGAAAAUGGGCCAAAGAUUCAGCAAACGUGUGGAAAACUGUAAACCACUUUAUGUCAAAAUUAGAAAAGUGUUGUCACGUUCUGACCAUAGUUAUUUUGUGUUUUCUUUGUUUUAGUGUUGGUCAGGACGUGAGCUGAGUAGGCAUUCUAUGUUGUGUGUCUAGUUUUCAGGUUUCUAUGUUUGGCCUGAUAUGGUUCUCAAUCAGAGGCAGGUGUUAGUCAUUGUCUCUGAUUGGGAACCAUAUUUAGGUAGCCUGUUUUGUGUUGGGUUUUGUGGGUGGUUGUCUUUGUCUAUGCACCAGAUAGGACUGUUUUGGUUUUUCACAUUUGUUGGUGUAUUUUGUAGUGUUCACGUUUAUUGUCUUAAAGUCAUGAUGAACAUUAACCACGCUGCGCUUUGGUCCGAUCCCUGCUACACCUCUUCAGACGAAGAGGAGGAAAUCUGCCGUUACACGUGUAAUAUCUGAAAAUGUAUCUUGCUAGACUAUUUUACCCGUAUACAUUAUCCAUGGAUGGAUGUGUCUCCUGUCAGAUGCCAUGGUUGCCCUUAGUUUGAAGAUGUAAUCCAGAAGCAGGUGUUUUCUCCAUCUCCUUAGCUUUCAUACUCGAAUUCCACUGAUUUCAAAACUCAGUCAUCCAGAAAGUGGAGAGAGACACUUAUGCAGUUUUAAUACACAUACUGACCAGACAUACUGACCAGCUCAAAGAGACGUGUUCUAUAUGGCAGAUCAAUCCAAACUCAUAUCUCGGGCAUGUCCAGCCCACUCAUCUCAGACGAUCAUCGGUAGUGGGAAGGUUGCUGAUUUUUUUUUUCUGUGGCUAAACCAACUAGGCUCGUAAUUGUACAAUUUUAUUUGUAUUUACAGGUGAAAAACCCGAACUCACUGAAAUAUUCCUGAAGUCUAAUUUUUUAGUAGAAGAGUUCAGAGCAAACGGACACAUUUCUGAGACAGCCUUCAUCAGUGUUUGGAAAACAAUAGGCAUUCACCCAUAUAUAUAAAAAUGACGUCACAUUGUAGUACUGCUUCUUAAUUUUUUAGCAAUCAUUAUUUACAUUCAUUAUGCAAAUACAUUAACAUGUACCCAAUCAGCAUUUCCUAUCUACCCUCCCCUCAGGCAAUUUCCCCUGUCAUAAGUUUGUAAACUGUAAUGCAAUAAUGAAGGGAGAUUUCUUUCUUCACUCUCGUACGGGAAAGAAAAUGUAUGUCAGGGGUAGAAUAUCUUGUAAAACCACAUUUGUGGUCUAUUUACUGAAGUGUCCAUGUAAUUAUUUUGUAAAGUCUAAGAGAAUUUAACAUUUGUAUUAAAGUGCAAGAGCAACAUCAAAACUAGUGACGAGAAGUCCCCUGUAGCCAGACACUUUAAUCAUUCCCUCCAGGAUUCAACAAUCGCAAUGAUAUUUUUUGCGAUAUCAACAAUUUCCCGCAAGUUAUGCAAGGGCUUGCAAAUGUCCAAUCACUGCACUAUUUCAGCAUAAAACAUUAAAACCAUUGCAAUAUUAUUGCAUAAAACAGAAUCCCCACAGUACAAAAAGAGGGAUAGCAAUUUCAAUCAAUCACUGCAUAUUUACCUCAAGCAUUUUUGCCUGCAAAUAUUACAAAAAAAAUGCUGUGAAAUCCUGGAGGGACUGUUACAGGGAGUAAGACAUGAUGUGUGCUAACUGAGGUUCCAGGGCAUGGAAGUUGUACAGCCACCAAAGAGAGGAGCUGAUAGAUCGCAAUUAAUGUUGCAGACAGAGGCAUAUUAUAUCCAUGCCCUACAAAC